GUCUGACCAGCCAUGCCGCGUGCAGGAUGACGGUCCUAUGGAUUGUAAACUGCUUUUGUACGAGAAAAAACAUCCCGACGUGUCGGGACUUGACGGUAUCGUAAGAAUAAGGAUCGGCUAACUCCGUGCCAGCAGCCGCGGUAAUACGGAGGAUCCAAGCGUUAUCCGGAAUCAUUGGGUUUAAAGGGUCCGUACGCGGUUUAAUAAGUCAGUGGUGAAAGCCCAUCGCUCAACGGUGGAACGGCCAUUGAUACUGCUGAACUUGAAUUAUUAUGAAGUAACUAGAAUAUGUAGUGUAGCGGUGAAAUGCUUAAAUAUUACAUGGAAUACCAAUUGCGAAGGCAGGUUACUACUAAUUGAUUGACGCUGAUGGACGAAAGCGUGGGGAGCGAACGGGAUUACAUACCCUGGUAGUCCACGCCGUAAACGAUGGAUACUACCUGUUGGGAGCAAUCUCAGUGGCUAAGCGAAAGUGAUAAGUAUCCCACCUGGGGAGUACGUUCGCAAGAAUGAAACUCAGAGGAAUUGACGGGGGCCCGCACAAGCGGUGGAGCAUGUGGUUUAAUUCGAUGAUACGCGAGGAACCUUACCAAGGCUUAAAUGUAGAUUGACCGUUUUGGAAACACAACU
rnacentral:rRNA from 1 species